rnacentral:tRNA from 1 species
GUGAGCUUAGCUCAGUUGGUAAGAACAAUGCAUUAUAUAUGCAAAGUUCGGGUUCGAACCCUGGACACCACA